rfam:Salmo salar isolate Sally breed double haploid chromosome ssa05, whole genome shotgun sequence.
UGGCUCAGUUGGUAGAGCAUGGUGUUUGCAAUGCCAGGGUUGUGUGUUCGAUUCCCAC